rnacentral:rRNA from 1 species
GUGAGUAACGCGUGGGAACGUGCCUUCCGGUUCGGAAUAACCCUGGGAAACUAGGGCUAAUACCGGAUACGCCCUUAUGGGGAAAGGUUUACUGCCGGAAGAUCGGCCCGCGUCUGAUUAGCUAGUUGGUGGGGGUAACGGCCUACCAAGGCGACGAUCAGUAGCUGGUNUGAGAGGAUGAUCAGCCACACUGGGACUGAGACACGGCCCAGACUCUACGGGAGGCAGCAGUGGGGAAUAUUGGACAAUGGGCGCAAGCCUGAUCCAGCCAUGCCGCGUGAGUGAUGAAGGCCUUAGGGUUGUAAAGCUCUUUUAUCCGGGACGAUAAUGACGGUACCGGAGGAAUAAGCCCCGGCUAACUUCGUGCCAGCAGCCGCGGUAAUACGAAGGGGGCUAGCGUUGCUCGGAAUCACUGGGCGUAAAGGGCGCGUAGGCGGCGUUUUAAGUCGGGGGUGAAAGCCUGUGGCUCAACCACAGAAUGGCCUUCGAUACUGGGACGCUUGAGUAUGGUAGAGGUUGGUGGAACUGCGAGUGUAGAGGUGAAAUUCGUAGAUAUUCGCAAGAACACCGGUGGCGAAGGCGGCCAACUGGACCAUUACUGACGCUGAGGCGCGAAAGCGUGGGGAGCAAACAGGAUUAGAUACCCUGGUAGUCCACGCCGUAAACGCUGAAUGCCAGCUGUUGGGGUGCUUGCACC